rnacentral:lncRNA from 1 species
UGUCUUACAGAAAGAGGAAUCUGGAAAGUAUCCUGUGGGCACUUUGGUGAGCUUGGAAGUAGUAACAGCUUCUGAGAAGACUCAUCUAUCCUCACUGUUCUUUAUGUGUUUGACUGUCCAGACCACAAAAAAUAUUGAAAGAACUAAAAACACAACGGAAGAGCAAUAAAACUGAAUGUUGAUGGAAAUGGAGCACAAAAAUGUGACGUCUUUCUUCCUGAGAAAAUACAAUAUAUGGACAAUCGCACCAACCAGCACCUUUGGCAUGGUCAGCAUAUGAAGUGCUUCUGUUUCAACGAAUGUCUGUUUUCAGAGUGCUGGUCGAAAGGUUCCACAGCAAAAAUCAAUGAAGAUGAGGAUCAUAAGAAUGAUCAACCUUCUCAUAAUAAUGAGAAGCGAAGCGAAGCGAAGCGAAGCGAAGCGAAGCGAAGCGAAGCGAAGCGAAGAGAAGAGAAGAGAAGAGAAGAGAAGAGAAGAGAAGAGAAGAGAAGAGAAGAGAAGAGAAGAGAAGAGAAGAGAAGAGAAGAGUAUAUGGGGCUGAUUUUUUUCUAUAUUUUUUAUUAUUUGGUAAAAUCUAAACCUCUUAUUCCAGAGACAAUAAAUCCACUAUACAACACAGGUCGACUCUUGUAGUCUGUGUAUUAUGGCAGAACAUUUCUGCAGGAAUUUCUAAAUAACUUCUCUGUGAGCCAGUUGCUAUGGUUUAAAUACUGUCAAAUGCAAUCUAAC